CCGGCGUUAUUUGAACUAAGAGAAGUACGGAGACUAACGUGCGAUACUUUGCGCUUUGAAACACGUGUGUUAAAAACCCUCUAGUCAUUUUGUGUGAAUUAAACAAAAAGCAGUAAAGAAAAUGCCGGAAGAAAUGGAGACACAGCCAGCGGAGGUUGAAACCUUCGCGUUCCAGGCUGAGAUCGCUCAGCUUAUGUCCCUGAUCAUCAACACCUUUUACUCCAACAAAGAAAUUUUCCUUCGUGAGCUGAUUUCCAAUUCAUCGGACGCUUUAGACAAAAUCAGGUAUGAAUCUCUCACGGAUCCGUCAAAACUCGAUAGUGGCAAAGAGCUGUACAUCAAGAUCAUUCCCAACAAGAACGAGGGCACUCUUACGAUCAUCGAUACCGGUAUUGGUAUGACCAAGGCCGAUUUGGUGAACAAUUUGGGAACCAUCGCGAAAUCUGGUACUAAAGCUUUCAUGGAGGCUCUUCAAGCAGGUGCCGACAUCAGCAUGAUUGGACAGUUCGGUGUUGGCUUCUACUCCAGUUACUUGGUCGCUGACCGCGUGACUGUUCACUCUAAACACAAUGACGACGAGCAAUACGUGUGGGAAUCUUCUGCAGGAGGCUCGUUCACAGUCCGCCCCGACAGCGGUGAGCCCCUUGGUCGAGGUACAAAGAUCGUCCUUCACGUCAAAGAGGACUUGGCAGAAUUCAUGGAAGAACACAAAAUCAAAGAGAUCGUAAAGAAACAUUCCCAGUUCAUCGGCUACCCAAUCAAGCUGAUGGUUGAAAAAGAACGAGAAAAAGAACUGUCUGAUGAUGAAGCCGAAGAAGAAAAGAAGGAAGAGGAAGAUGAGAAGCCUAAGAUUGAAGAUGUAGGUGAGGAUGAAGACGAGGACAAAAAAGAUACGAAGAAGAAGAAGAAAACAAUUAAAGAAAAAUACACAGAGGAUGAAGAACUCAACAAGACAAAGCCUAUCUGGACCAGAAACGCUGAUGACAUUACCCAAGAUGAGUAUGGAGACUUCUACAAAUCCCUUACCAAUGAUUGGGAGGACCAUCUUGCAGUCAAACACUUCUCCGUUGAAGGUCAGUUAGAGUUCCGAGCACUACUUUUUGUGCCACGUCGUGCACCUUUUGACUUGUUUGAAAACAAGAAGCGCAAGAACAAUAUCAAGCUGUAUGUACGAAGAGUUUUCAUCAUGGACAACUGUGAGGAUCUCAUCCCAGAGUACCUUAACUUCAUUAGAGGUGUUGUCGACAGUGAGGACCUUCCUCUAAACAUUUCACGUGAGAUGCUUCAGCAGAAUAAAAUUCUGAAAGUAAUUAGGAAGAAUUUAGUUAAAAAAUGCCUAGAACUAUUUGAAGAAUUGGCAGAGGACAAAGAAAACUACAAGAAGUAUUAUGAACAAUUCAGCAAGAACUUAAAAUUGGGUAUCCAUGAAGACUCUCAAAACAGGGCUAAGCUCUCUGAGCUUCUGCGGUACCACACUUCAGCAUCGGGUGACGAAGCCUGCUCUCUCAAAGAGUAUGUAUCCAGGAUGAAGGAGAAUCAGAAACAUAUCUACUACAUCACUGGAGAAAACAGAGACCAGGUGGCGAACUCGUCAUUUGUGGAGAGAGUGAAGAAACGUGGCUAUGAAGUAGUCUACAUGACUGAGCCCAUUGAUGAAUAUGUAGUGCAACAGAUGAGGGAGUAUGAUGGCAAGACCCUUGUAUCGGUCACAAAGGAAGGAUUAGAACUUCCUGAAGAUGAGGAAGAAAAGAAGAAACGUGAGGAAGAUAAGGUGAAGUUUGAAGGGCUGUGCAAGGUGAUGAAGAACAUCCUGGACAACAAAGUUGAAAAAGUUGUUGUCUCUAACAGACUUGUGGAGUCUCCUUGCUGUAUUGUUACUGCUCAAUAUGGAUGGUCUGCCAACAUGGAACGAAUCAUGAAGGCUCAGGCUCUACGUGACACAUCCACAAUGGGAUACAUGGCUGCGAAGAAGCAUUUGGAAAUCAAUCCUGAUCACUCAAUUGUGGAAACAUUAAGGCAGAAAGCGGAGGCCGACAAGAAUGACAAAGCUGUUAAGGAUCUUGUUAUCUUAUUGUAUGAAACUGCCCUGCUGUCUUCUGGCUUCACGCUUGAUGAGCCCCAAGUCCAUGCUUCCCGUAUCUAUAGAAUGAUCAAACUGGGUCUUGGUAUUGAUGAAGAUGAGCCGAUUCAGGUUGAAGAGCCUGCUUCUGGAGACGUGCCACCAUUGGAGGGUGAUGCCGAUGAUGCAUCUCGCAUGGAGGAGGUUGAUUAAGAUCUCUACUUUAACUGUAGGAACCAUGUCAUAAUGGUUUGUUUUUGUGCAUCGGUGUACAGCCAAAGACUGAUUUAGUUCAAAAAUUCCAUUAUUUUAAUAAAUAAUCAAAAUGAUUUUCUGUUGAUUUUUUUUUAAAGUAACGUCAUAAUUGUGCCAGAAUACUUACAAUAUUGUAUCUUUUUAAAUGUUUUGUUACUGUUCGUAAUGUAGGCAACCUUUGAAAAUGUUCUUAGUGCAGUAUUACACAUUAGUAAAUAGCCAAAGGUGAACUCUGAAUGUAUCAAUAAAACUCCACUUAAUAUGUGAAAA